rnacentral:rRNA from 1 species
CCUACGGGUGGCAGCAGUGAGGAAUAUUGGUCAAUGGGCGGGAGCCUGAACCAGCCAAGUCGCGUGAGGGAAGACGGUCCUAUGGAUUGUAAACCUCUUUAGGCGGGGAGCAAUGCCGGGCACGCGUGCCCGGAGGGAGAGUACCCGCAGAAUAAGCAUCGGCUAACUCCGUGCCAGCAGCCGCGGUAAUCCGGAGGAUGCGAGCGUUAUCCGGAUUUAUGGGGUUAAAAGGGUGGGUGGGCGGAAGUUUAAGUCAGCGGUAAAAUGUCCGGGCUCAACCCGGGCCUGCCGUUGAAACUGGGUAUCUUGAGUGGGCGAGAAGUAUGCGGAAUGCGUGGUGUAGCGGUGAAAUGCAUAGAUAUCACGCAGAACUCCGAUUGCGAAGGCAGCAUACCGGCGCCCGACUGACGCUGAGGCACGAAAGCGUGGGGAUCGAACAGGAUUAGAUACCCGUGUAGUC